rnacentral:misc_RNA from 1 species
UACGGAGGGUGCAAGCGUUAAUCGGAAUCACUGGGCGUAAAGCGCGCGUAGGCGGUUCGAUAAGUCAGAUGUGAAAGCCCCGGGCUCAACCUGGGAAUUGCAUUUGAUACUGUCGGGCUAGAGUGUGGUAGAGGGAGGUGGAAUUCCGCGUGUAGCGGUGAAAUGCGUAGAUAUGCGGAGGAACACCAGCGGCGAAGGCGACCUCCUGGACCAACACUGACGCUGAGGUGCGAAAGCGUGGGGAGCAAACAGG